rnacentral:lncRNA from 1 species
AGCGGAGCAGCGCACCUGUGUAAAUGGGAGCGUGGUUUUGCCAUCUACUGGGCGGAGUUGGCAUUGCACCUUCAGGCGCUUUGACGGCACUCACCCAAAACACCGCGGUUUGAUGACGCACAACGAUAGCGAAGCAUCGUAGUUCCAGCUGCUGAGCUAGAAAGCGUUCCAGCCUUGGAGACCAUUUGUCUGUAAGUCUGUUCUAUACAGAAGUUGUAGCUGUAGUGUAGAUUCUGUAGCGUUAGUUUAAUUAUUCUUUGCGUUGUUAGUCCGUGGUAAUUAGCGAGUGAUGCUAGCUAACAUAUUAGCAUGUGGAGCUGUGUCGUGAGUUAUAUAUAGAUCGUCUUAGUGUGUUUGGUGUACGUGAGUUUUUUAUGCUGUUCUAUUUUCUGUAUUGUUUCAGUUUUACAAAAAAUAUUACUCAAUGGAUAAAAGGGAGAAACAACACAGUUGAGCCUUGUUGUGGUUUUCUUUCAAACUCCAUACUGUUAGCUGACUGCCUAGCCUCGCCCGAGAGAGAGAGAACGCGUCGCGAGGGCAGUACAUACAGUGAUCCCUCGCUAUAUCGCGGUUCAUCUUUCGCGGCUUCGCUGCUUCGCGGAUUUUUUUUUUUUUUUUACAGUGCCUCUGAAUCCUGAUUGGCUCAGGGGCUUUACUGUUGUCUAGAAAUAAAAUAUUGACGCUGUACUGUAUUGAUUUUUCACUUGUCAACAGUUUUCGUUUCUGUACAUUCUGCCAACUUUACGUUUGCACUUGGUCGCUUAGCAACCAUGGUGAGAAUGGCCACUGAACUUCAGCGCACGGCACAAGAAUGGGACCCUUUGAUGAGUCGUUCAUUGCAGUUCUCAAAUAUAACUGAAGACUCCUGCGCCUUCAGUAGAAACAGACGCUACAGCGGAGCGGAGUCAGGACGCAGAGGCACAGCUGGGACCGUGAAAUACACGAGUGACAAUGUUUCCAAUCUUGUACAGUAUUACUAUAUUAAAAUUAUUGUUUUAAACAAAGUUUGGUCUUUAAAACAGGUUUUGAUGUUUGGUUUCAUUCUACUGUUCAGUAUUGCAUUGUAAAAUAAUAAAAAAAAAAUAAAGUUUCUACUACGCGGAUUUCACUUUUCGCGUGUUACUUUUGGAACGUAACUCCCGCGAUAAACGAGGGAUCACUGUAUAUGAAGUAUUUUUUUCAAAAACACACUGGAGGUUAGAGGCUGCAGACAGUAAACACAACCCAUUUUCAGUUAAGUAUGCACUUG